UACGGGGGGGAGCAAGCGUUGUUCGGAUUUACUGGGCGUAAAGGGCGCGUAGGCGGUCAGCACAAGUCAGUUGUGAAAUCUCCGGGCUUAACUCGGAACGGUCAAGUGAUACUGUCGGACUAGAGUACAGAAGGGGCAACUGGAAUUCUCGGUGUAGCGGUGAAAUGCGUAGAUAUCGAGAGGAACACCUGCGGCGAAGGCGGGUUGCUGGGCUGAUACUGACGCUGAGGCGCGAAAGCCAGGGGAGCGAACGGG
rnacentral:rRNA from 1 species